rnacentral:lncRNA from 1 species
CUCAGGUUAGAACACAGAGCCGUGGGAACGGUGCUUAGAGACCUACAGACACAGAUAUUUAGUCCUCUGCUGCCACCAGCCCAUGGUCAACUGCCAAAUGGACCUGAGUGAUUGGGACCUGGAUCUGGAGUCAAGGUAGACCCACACGGGUGCAGGCUAGGAACACCCUUCCCCACAGGCUUUUCCAUCUUAAAAUUCAAUUCCUGUCAACAUUUUGGCAUUAUCUUCCCUAAAAGAUUCAGGCUGCGUAAUACUCAAUGCCAGUGGCCACAGACUGACCAGGAUCAGUUUCAAGAGUCAACAGAAAUCACUCCAACAUUGGCAACUGGGUAA